GUGCUCGCUUCAGCAGCACAUAUACUAUAAUUGGAACGAUACUGACAAGAUUAGCAUGGCCCCUGUGCAAGGAUGACACGGACAUCCGUGAAGAGAAAGACAAAUAC
rnacentral:snRNA from 1 species